UGAAGACCGUAUUUCAGCCUGGGGAGCUCUACAGACGCAUUCCAGAGGACGUAAAGUUUGAGUGGGAUGAGAAAGGGUUUGGAACUCUGAGUCUUAAUGCAACUUAUGAUCCCUGGAAUCUCCAAGUAGACGACCUUCCAUCUGAGCCACAGACUUUUUGUAGCAGCGUUUACCAUCCCAAACAAGAGCUAAUGAGGUGGAGCCGUUGUCAGGGUUUUGGUUCAAAUGCACAGAAUCUACCUGCAGAAACCAUGAGAGUGGCAGGAAGCUGGGACGGCAUUCUCCACUGAACCAUCUGGUUUGUGUCUUUGAAACCAUGUCAGCUUCCAUUUGGCGUCACUCAGCUCACCUAACGCUGUCUAGCCCAGAGCCAGGCCAAAGGAUGUCCUUGCAAGGCUCCCGCUGUGUUCCUCCAGUUACUGCAGCCAGUAAGUGCCUGGCAGUUACACAUCUCCUGCUUGCUCCCCUUUACAUGGGCUUCUACAGCCACAGACAUUUCAUGGAAGGUAAAUCAGAGAACAGCAUGGGGCACAGCUGUCAGCAGAUGCGCGCGGCCGCCAUUCUCUCUCCUCAUGUGGCAGACCUGGAUGCUUGGGUAACCGAGCAUCAGCGUGACCUGGGAACUGAAGGGAGUGAGCGCACGCCUUCAAACCCAGCUACGAAGGUGCUUUAUUUAUACCCCAGACAUUACAAGUCCCCAGAGCCGCACAAAAAAAUCACACGUUUAAUUAAGGACAUUUCCUU
rnacentral:lncRNA from 1 species